CGAGUCGGUCGGACGGUCGCACAAAUUGUGAGGAAAGUCCGAGCAUCAUAGGGCAUGGUGGUAGGUAACUCCUACUGGAGGCGACUUUAAGGAUAGUGCAACAGAAAUAAACCGCAGAUCUCAAAUAAAUAGAGAUUUGUAAGGAUGGAAAGGUGCGGUAAGAGCGCACCAACAGUUCGGCAACGAAAUUGGUUAUGUAAACCCCACCUGAUGCAAGAAAAAAGGGCAAAUGAGCGGCCCGUUCUGCCCCUCAAUCGCUUGAAUGCAUAGGCGACUAUGUGUCUAGAUAGAUGACCGUUCAAGACAGAACUCGGCUUACAGACCGACUCGCAAA
rnacentral:RNase_P_RNA from 1 species